AUGCAUUCUUGGUUGAAGUUGAAUGGACAACCCACGUGGAAUGUAUUCAUUGCCAACUCCGCCAAGACCACUAACAUGGGCACCAAGGAAGAAACAGGCGAUCCAACCGACCCAGCAAAAGAGUCGACAAUAAAGGUUAGAGGAGGGUUUCGGAGAAAGAAAUGGGAGAAGGAGAAGGCCAAGCGAGAAGGGGUGGCGGCCAAGAUGACAAAGAGGUUUGAGAAAGUCUGUACCAAGAAGAAGCCAUGUGCCAAGUGCUCCGACAUCAAGAAGGCAUGUAAGGCUGAGAGGUUAACAUGUUGA
rnacentral:rRNA from 1 species